rnacentral:rRNA from 1 species
UACGGAAGGCAGCAGUGGGGAAUAUUGCACAAUGGGCGAAAGCCUGAUGCAGCUAUGCCGCGUGUAUGAAGAAGGCCUUAGGGUUGUAAAGUACUUUCAUCGGGGAGGAAAAAACAAAACUAAUAAUUUUAUUUCUUGACGUUACCCGAAAAAGAAGCACCGGCUAACUCCGUGCCAGCAGCCGCGGUAAUACGGAGGGUGCUAGCGUUAAUCAGAAUUACUGGGCGUAAAGAGCACGUAGGUGGUUUUUUUAAGUCAGAUGUGAAAUCCCUGGGCUUAACCUAGGAACUGCAUUUUGAAACUGAAAUACUAGAGUAUCGUAGAGGGAGGUAGAAUUCUAGGUGUAGCGGUGAAAUGCGUAGAUAUCUGGAGGAAUACCUGUGGCGAAAGCGGCCUCCUAAACGAAUACUGACACUGAGGUGCGAAAGCGUGGGGAGCAAACAGGGAUUAGAUACC